GUGGGGAAUCUUCCACAAUGGACGAAAGUCUGAUGGAGCAACGCCGCGUGAGUGAAGAAGGUUUUCGAAUCGUAAAGCUCUGUUGUCGGGGACGAAUGUUGAGACCGAGAAUAUUGGUUUCAAAUGACGGUACCUGACGAGGAAGCCACGGCUAACUACGUGCCAGCAGCCGCGGUAAUACGUAGGUGGCGAGCGUUGUCCGGAAUUAUUGGGCGUAAAGGGAGCGCAGGUGGGAAAGUAAGUCUGUCUUAAAAGUGCGGGGCUCAACCCCGUGAUGGGAUAGAAACUAUUUUUCUUGAGUGCAGGAGAGGAAAGCGGAAUUCCUAGUGUAGCGGUGAAAUGCGUAGAUAUUAGGAGGAACACCAGUGGCGAAGGCGGCUUUCUGGACUGUAACUGACACUGAGACUCGAAAGCCAGGGGAGCGAACGGGAUUAGAAACCCCGGUAGUCC
rnacentral:rRNA from 1 species